UCCGCGAGAGAACGAAAGUAACCGACAUAGCCCACAGAAUUAGCAAGUUGAAGAGGCAGUGGGCUGGUCAUCUGUGUCGCAGGACCGAUGGCCGUUGGAGUAGACGGGUCCUAGAGUGGAGACCGCGUCUUGGCAAACGCAGUGUGGGACGUCCUUCGGCCCGUUGGACCGACGAUCUACGUAAGAUUGCCGGCUGGAUGAGGAUUGCGGAAAACCGGGAUGUCUGGCGCGAACUUGGGG
rnacentral:misc_RNA from 1 species